UAAAAACGUAAAAAUAACUCAUAUAGGUCUCCAAUAAGGGGAGACGUCUCUACCGAAAGCCUUAAAUUUUCGACUAUGAGUGGACUUGAUAUA
rnacentral:ncRNA from 1 species